rnacentral:rRNA from 1 species
UACAGAGGGUGCGAGCGUUAAUCGGAAUUACUGGGCGUAAAGCGCACGUAGGCGGCUUGGUAUGUCGGGGGUGAAAUCCCCGGGCUCAACCUGGGAACUGCAUCCGAAACUGCCUUGCUAGAGUAUGGGAGAGGGAAGUGGAAUUUCCGGUGUAGCGGUGAAAUGCGUAGAUAUCGGAAGGAACAUCAGUGGCGAAGGCGACUUCCUGGACCAAUACUGACGCUCAGGUGCGAAAGCGUGGGGAGCAAACAGG